AUUAACGCUGGCGGCGUGCCUAAUACAUGCAAGUCGAGCGAACAGACGAGGAGCUUGCUCCUCUGACGUUAGCGGCGGACGGGUGAGUAACACGUGGCUAACCUACCUAUAAGACUGGGAUAACUUCGGGAAACCGGAGCUAAUACCGGAUAAUAUAUUGAACCGCAUGGUUCAAUAGUGAAAGACGGUUUUGCUGUCACUUAUAGAUGGAUCCGCGCCGCAUUAGCUAGUUGGUAAGGUAACGGCUUACCAAGGCAACGAUGCGUAGCCGACCUGAGAGGGUGAUCGGCCACACUGGAACUGAGACACGGUCCAGACUCCUACGGGAGGCAGCAGUAGGGAAUCUUCCGCAAUGGGCGAAAGCCUGACGGAGCAACGCCGCGUGAGUGAUGAAGGUCUUCGGAUCGUAAAACUCUGUUAUUAGGGAAGAACAAAUGUGUAAGUAACUAUGCACGUCUUGACGGUACCUAAUCAGAAAGCCACGGCUAACUACGUG
rnacentral:rRNA from 1 species